CAUCCCCCCAUCCCCCACCGAUUCUGCCAUUCCCCCUCAGCGCUCUCCCUUUCUCCUUCCUUCUCUGUCUCUCUUCCCCUUUUUAUUUCUUCUCUUUCUUGCGCCAGAAUAAGAAGACGCCGACGGCCUCAACGGCUGAUAGAUCGGGAUUGGUGACAGCGGAGAAUCCCUGGGUCCCAUGUAGUUCAAGUAGGAGUGGGCGAGAAAGGAAAUUGAAACCAGAAGCUAUUCAUGGCCGCCAAUCCCAUUUCUCAUAGACGAGCAUUGGCACUCCUUAGACAGCAAUUCUCCAGCCCUACCCUCAACUCUCAGCGAGCUUCUCUUCUCAGGUGCCGUUCCUCUCAGAAAACCCAGAACCACAAAGACGAUGAACAACUGCAGAACAAUACCCAACGACCCAAAUUGUCAACCCCCAAAACCAAAAGGGCUAAGGAUAUGGCCAAGCUUAUCGACUCCAUGCCGUGGUCAACUGAGCUCGAAUCUUCUCUCUCUACAAUCGCUUCCUCUCUCUCCAAAACGACAGUGCACCAAACUCUCCACCUUAUCAAAGCCCCCAGCAAAGCCCUUCAAUUUUUCAAGUGGGCGGAGGUAAUGGGUUUCUCUCACAAUGACCAAUCCUACUUCUUGAUGCUUGAAAUCUUGGGUCGCAAUCGAAAUCUCAAUGCUGCUCGAAAUUUCUUGUUUUCGAUUGAAAAGAAGUCUAAUGGGGCAGUUAAGCUCGAGGACCGGUUCUUUAAUAGCUUGAUAAGGAACUACGGUCGAGCUGGGCUGUUCCAAGAAUCUAUAAAGCUUUUUAGUACAAUGAAGUCGAUUGGUGUUUCGCCUUCUGUUGUUUCGUUCAAUAGUCUGCUGUUGAUUUUGCUUAGAAAGGGGCGGACCAAUAUGGCCAAGAAUGUGUAUGAUGAAAUGGUUAGUAUGUAUGGAGCUACACCAGAUACUUGUACGUUUAAUACUUUGAUUAGAGGGUUUUGUAUGAACUCCAUGGUUGAUGAAGGUUUUCGCUUUUUCAAAGAAAUGUCGCGUUUCAAAUGUGAUCCAGAUGUCAUUACCUAUAAUACUCUUGUUGAUGGAUUGUGUAGAGCAGGGAAGGUUGGUAUUGCCCAUAAUGUGGUGAAGGGCAUGAGUAAGAGAAGUGCAGAUUUGAAUCCAAAUAUUGUUACUUAUACGACCUUGAUUAGAGGUUAUUGUAUGAAACAAGAGAUUGAUGAGGCUUUAUGUGUUUUGGAGGAGAUGACUAGCCAAGGGUUGAAACCAAAUGGAAUUACCUGCAAUACUCUAAUUAAGGGGCUUUGUGAAGCGCAUAAGCUAGAUAAGAUAAAAGACAUUUUGGAAGGAACAAUGAGCGGUGGAGAAUUUACUCCUGAUACUUGUACGUUUAACACACUGAUGCAUUCGCAUUGCAAUGCAGGAAACUUGGAUGAAGCAUUGAAGGUUUUUGCAAAGAUGUCAGAGCUAAAGGUCCCACCAGAUUCAGCUACAUACAGUGUUUUGAUACGCAGUUUGUGUCAACGAGGGGAUUACAGUAGAGCAGAGGAGUUGUUCGAUGAGCUAUCAAAGAAAGAAAUACUGUUAAGUGAUGACGGUUGUAAGCCUCUUGUUGCCUCUUAUAACCCUAUUUUUGAGUAUUUGUGUAGUAAGGGGAAAAUUAAAAAGGCCGAGGCAGUGUUUAGGCAGCUAAUGAGAAGAGGAACGCAAGACCCUGUGUCCUAUAAGACUUUGAUCAUGGGCCAUUGUAAGGAAGGUACAUUUGAAACCGGGUAUGAACUCCUAGUCUGGAUGCUUAGAAGGGAUUUUGUGCCUGAUGUCGAAAUUUAUGAAUCCUUGAUUGGUGGUCUCUUGCAGAAGGGUAAGGCCCUUCUUGCUCAACAGACGCUAGAGAAGAUGCUGAAAAGCUCUCAUCUCCCAAAAACGUGUACAUUCCAUUGUAUACUAGCAGAACUUUUAGAAAAGAAUUGUGCCCUAGAAUCUGCCAAUUGUGUUAUUUUAAUGCUGGAGAGAAAAAUUAGACAAAAUAUUAAUCUCUCAACACAUCUUGUAAGGCUACUUUUCAGCAGUGGGUUGCGUGACAAAGCAUUUGACAUUGUAGGGAUGCUCCAUAAGAAUGGAUACUCAAUUAAAAUGGAAGAAGUGGUUCAUUUUCUUUGCCAGAGAAGAAAGCUGUUAGACGCAUGCAAAAUGUUGCAAUUCAGUCUGCAGAAGCAUCAAAGUGUCAGUAUUGAUAUUUUCAACCAAGUCAUCGAAGGGCUUUGUAAUAUCAAUAAACCUUCAGAAGCAUUUGGCUUGUACUAUGAACUGGUUGAGAAUGCAGGCUAUCAGCAAUUUCCCUGCUUAGGAUCCUUAAAAUCUGCACUAGAGAUUGCAGGAAAAUCAGUUGAAGCUGAGUUUCUAUCUAAAGGGAUGCCAGGAGAGCAGUCGCUAGACAAAUCCCAUAGGUCGAGACCUCAACUAGGAGCAUGCUGAACAGAAUGAAUGUUAUUGUUCUCAAUAUAUGGAAUGGGCCAUCACAUGGUUGUAUAGUCUUGUGGAGUUUCCAGAAAAAUUCCUUCGCAUCGAAAGUUGUGUUCUUGGCAUGGUACACGAGUUAAACUGCUUAUCAAGCCCAUCGUUCUGAGUGGCUCGAAGAUUCUGGUGGAACAUUUUUGUUACUGCUAACUGGUGGGUUUUUAAGAUCAUCUCGAUCACGUCACAAACUUGUAAAUACACUUGUUACCACCCUCGUCCUAAAACAUCUUCUCAGCAUUCAGCUAACCAUUCUCUCUCAAUUUCAUCCAGACCCCCCGUCUCAACCAUCAGCUCACAUAGACAUAUACCGUCCAUCCACACUCCAAAUUGCAUUGAACAAAACUCAUGCCCAGUUAGAACUGCACCUGCUUGAAAAUAAAAACCCACGAACAGUUGGCCCCUCAACGGAAAGUGCAGUGCAUACAAAAUGGACAUGGCCAAGAAUUGUGGAGUGAAAUCACACAGAUUGAGAGGGUGAAGCAUGCCCUUGCUUUACUAACCAGAAAGCAGGCUGUAAGACCCAAUAUUCUUGGUGUUGCAUUACUUUGUAAAAUCUCUUUAAUCCGCCACCUUACGUUUGUCAGGAGAAACUCUUAAUCCUAUCUUUGUUACAGGUGGUUAAUAUAUUUCAACUUUGCAUUACCUUAUUAUAAGAUCUUAUUCGUGUGUGCCGUUGGACGAUUGGGCAAGUUCACCAUUUAAUCGCACACACAAUCCCACCCCCUUGUGUUUGGUGCUAAUGUACGAGUGUCUAGCUGGAUAGAUAAUUUGAUAAGCCAAUGAUUUUUUUUUCGUGUUUCAGAAUACGGUUAACCGUGUUAGGGACUGAAGAAUUUCUCACUUGUUAGGGGCACACGAAAAUGCUUUUUUCAGAUCAUUCUAUUUUGAUUGUCAAGGCUCUAACAAGAAGGUACCCAAUCCUUAACAGCUAGCCAAUGUCUGGAUGGCAAAAAACAAAAACAAAAAGGACAAAAUGCUCUUUACUAAUUGUAUUGUUUCACCCUUUUACCAAACAAAAGAAAAGUAAAAGAUUGUUCUGUUCCCCCCUUGGAACAGUCACAGAUAAAAUCACCAAACCACAAUAAAAUAGACAUCUCUUCUUUUCAUGCGACUCUCCCUUUGAAACCAACUCUUGUCCAACACCCACCAAAAUCUCCCCUCUUAUAUGCACAUUGCCUUUGAGCUCUCCCCAAACUCACAAAGCUUCCUUUUCUGAGCCUCCUCAUCCUCGUAAAAGAUAUCGAAAGUCAAGAGAAAGGGUACUAAUGGUUCUUCCGAGCAAUACCAUGCCCCAACUAGGUAUGCUCCUACACCGGGGAAGGCAACUGUCCUUGCAUUGGGCAAGGCUUUCCCGAGCCAACGCAUCCCACAGGAUUGCUUGGUCGAGGGCUACAUUGGUGACAUGAAAUGUGAAGACGUCCCCAUCAAGGAAAAACUGGAGCUCCUGUGCAAAACCACUACUUUGAAGACUGGAUACACAGUGAUGUCCAAGGAAAUCCUAGACAAAUACCCUGAGCUAGCAACAGAGGGCACAGCCACCAUCAAACAGCGCCUCGAAAUAGCAAACCCUGUGGUGGUUGAGAUGGCUUUGGAAGCCAGCCUUGCUUGCAUCAAGGAAUGGGGAAGGCCUGUUGAAGAUAUCAUUCACAUUGUCUACGUAUCCUCAAAUGAAAUCAGACUACCUGGCGGCGACCUAUAACUCUCAAGCAAGCUCGGCCUAAGGAACGACGUUGGCCGCGUCAUGCUCUACUUCCUAGGAUUUUACGGUGGUGUCACUGGCCUCCGCAUUUCCAAAGACAUAGCUGAAAACUACCCAGGAAGUUGCGUCUUGCUAACCACUUCCGAGACCACAAUCCUUGGUUUCUGGCCCCCCAACAAGGCGUGCCCUUACGACCUUGUAGGGGCAGCGCUAUUCGGGGACGGGGCUGCAGCUGUGAUCAUUGGUAGCAACCCAAUAGCAGGGCAAGAGUCUCCUUUCAUGGAGCUCAACUAUGCCGUCCAGCAGUUCCUCGCGGAGACACACAAUGUGAUCGACGGCAGGCUGUUCGAGGAAGGUAUUAACUUCAAGCUUGGGAGGGACCUGCCUCAGAAAAUCGACCAAAACAUAGAGGUGUUUUGCAAGAAGCUGGUUGUGGCGGCCAAUGCGGAGCUGAGGGACUUCAAUGAGCUGUUUUGGGCAGUGCACCCGGGCGGACCGGCAAUUCUGAACAAGCUGGAGAGCACGCUAAAGCGGAGCAGUGAUAAGCUUGAGAGCAGCAGGAGGGCAUUGAUGGACUAUGGGAAUGUGAGCAGCAACACCAUUUUUUAUGUGAUGGAAAAUAUGAGGGAGGAGUUGGAGUUGAAGUUGAAGAAAAAGGUGCGGAGGGAAGAGGAAUGUUGACUUGCCUUGGCAUUUGGACCUGGGAUCACGUUUGAAGGCAUUCUCCUUCGCAGCCUCUAGUGGUGUGAAAUGUCUCAAAAUGCUAGGAGUGUUGUGCAUGUUGAACGGGACACUACGGAUACAGAAAUAUGAUACGCUGUUAGAAUUUGGUUAAUGAAAUGGGGUUGUUUAAAUUUAAGUUAAUUUGGUCAUUUCAAUGAAAUGGGGUUGUUCGAAGUAUAAUGAA